rnacentral:rRNA from 1 species
ACUCGAGCGAACUGAUUAGAAGCUUGCUUCUAUGACGUUAGCGGCGGACGGGUGAGUAACACGUGGGCAACCUGCCUGUAAGACUGGGAUAACUCCGGGAAACCGGAGCUAAUACCGGAUAACAUUUUCUCUUGCAUAAGAGAAAAUUGAAAGAUGGUUUCGGCUAUCACUUACAGAUGGGCCCGCGGUGCAUUAGCUAGUUGGUGAGGUAACGGCUCACCAAGGCAACGAUGCAUAGCCGACCUGAGAGGGUGAUCGGCCACACUGGGACUGAGACACGGCCCAGACUCCUACGGGAGGCAGCAGUAGGGAAUCUUCCGCAAUGGACGAAAGUCUGACGGAGCAACGCCGCGUGAGUGAUGAAGGCUUUCGGGUCGUAAAACUCUGUUGUUAGGGAAGAACAAGUACAAGAGUAACUGCUUGUACCUUGACGGUACCUAACCAGAAAGCCACGGCUAACUACGUGCCAGCAGCCGCGGUAAUACGUAGGUGGCAAGCGUUAUCCGGAAUUAUUGGGCGUAAAGCGCGCGCAGGCGGUUUCUUAAGUCUGAUGUGAAAGCCCACGGCUCAACCGUGGAGGGUCAUUGGAAACUGGGGAA